GGUAAGGUAACGGCUUACCAAGGCAACGAUGCAUAGCCGACCUGAGAGGGUGAUCGGCCACACUGGAACUGAGACACGGUCCAGACUCCUACGGGAGGCAGCAGUAGGGAAUCUUCCGCAAUGGGCGAAAGCCUGACGGAGCAACGCCGCGUGAGUGAUGAAGGUCUUCGGAUCGUAAAACUCUGUUAUUAGGGAAGAACAUAUGUGUAAGUAACUGUGCACAUCUUGACGGUACCUAAUCAGAAAGCCACGGCUAACUACGUGCCAGCAGCCGCGGUAAUACGUAGGUGGCAAGCGUUAUCCGGAAUUAUUGGGCGUAAAGCGCGCGUAGGCGGUUUUUUAAGUCUGAUGUGAAAGCCCACGGCUCAACCGUGGAGGGUCAUUGGAAACUGGAAAACUUGAGUGCAGAAGAGGAAAG
rnacentral:rRNA from 1 species